rnacentral:rRNA from 1 species
AGGGUUCGAUUCUGGCUCAGGAUGAACGCUAGCUACAGGCUUAACACAUGCAAGUCGAGGGGCAGCAGAUCGAAAGCUUGCUUUGAUGCUGGCGACCGGCGCACGGGUGAGUAACGCGUAUCCAACCUUCCCUAUAGUAGAGAAUAGCCCGGCGAAAGUCGGAUUAAUGCUCUAUGUUGUAUUUAGAAGACAUCUGAAGAAUACCAAAGGUUUACCGCUAUAGGAUGGGGAUGCGUCUGAUUAGGUAGUAGGCGGGGUAACGGCCCACCUAGCCGACGAUCAGUAGGGGUUCUGAGAGGAAGGUCCCCCACAUUGGAACUGAGACACGGUCCAAACUCCUACGGGAGGCAGCAGUGAGGAAUAUUGGUCAAUGGACGGAAGUCUGAACCAGCCAAAGUAGCGUGCAGGAUGACGGCCCUAUGGGUUGUAAACUGCUUUUAUAUAGGGAUAAAGUCGGGGACGUGUCCCCGUUUGUAGGUACUAUAUGAAUAAGGACCGGCUAAUUCCGUGCCAGCCGCCGC